rnacentral:lncRNA from 10 species
GAACACAAAAUGGCGACACGUGGUUAGCAUUCGUCGCCAACGAGAAAUUGGGGUCGGCCCGAAAGCUCUAGAAUGCACCCCUCUUCCUCCCCGGGGCCUUCCACCUCCGCGAGUUUUAUGACUUAAAAAAGCCCACAGGCUGGUCUGAAGGUCGGAGGCCUAAUUUUAACGCGUUUUCCUCCCUUUAAUUUGAAACGGGAACGCGAAUGACUGUAAAAUGUGGGCACAAUAUUUAAUCUCUCGCCUUUUUAAAGCUUAAUAGUGGAUAAUAGGGGGGCAGUAUCAAGGGAUAAUUUGGGUCCCCACAGUACCAAAGCAUUUAGAAACCUCUGUUUAAUUUAAGGAAUGAGAUAAGUUACUGCUUUUCUAGACUUCCUAGCAUGGGCUGUUGUGCUGGAGAGAACGAGAGCUACGAAGAGACUACAGUGCCUCUGACUUUUUCAUAGGACAGUUGGCCGAGGAAGACAAACAUAAAGAUGAAGUGCUUAAUUCAAGGUCACACAAUGUCGGGGAUGGACCUCCAGAUUUCCUUACUGACCUGCAUUAUCUUGUGGAUACCUGAGUGAAUUCCACACCACCCAUUUUAUAGAUGAAACCACUGAGACAUGGAGCAAUUGACUGAGUAGUCACUGCCCCACCCCUGCCUGGAGCCUCACACAUGACUCGCCUCCUCUCAGUGACCACAGUACUUAUCCUGUAUUACAUGAAGGAAAUGAAAUAAAAAGACUGCAGCCCCACUCCCAGCUACUCAGUGAGGUGGUAGCUAGGUGAGACGUGGUCUUGUAACACAGUGGUUAAGAAUGUGACUUUGGAGCCAGCCUGCUAGGGGCUGAAUUCUGACUCAGCCAUUUACUAACUGUGUG